AUUGAACGCUGGCGGCAGGCCUAACACAUGAAAGUCGAACGAGUGGCGGACGGGUGAGUAAUGUCUGGGAAACUGCCUGAUGGAGGGGGAUAACUACUGGAAACGGUAGCUAAUACCGCAUACCAUCAGAUGUGCCCAGAUGGGAUUAGCUUGUUGGUGGGGUAGCGGCUCACCAAGGCGACGAUCACUAGCUGGGCUGAGAGGAUGACCAGCAACACUGGACCUGAUCCACGGUCAAGACUCCAACGGGAGCCAGCAUUGGGGAAUAUUGCACAAUGGGCGCAAGCCUGAUGCAGCCAUGCCGCGUGUAUGAAGAAGGCCUUCGGGUUGUAAAGUACUUUCAGCGGGGAGGCGUUACCCGCAGAAGAAGCACCGGCUAACUCCGUGCCAGCAGCCGCGGUAAUUC
rnacentral:rRNA from 1 species